UACGAGUGCCUCAAGCGUUAUCCGGAAUCAUUGGGCGUAAAGGAUGUGUAGGUGGUCGUGUUAGUCUUUUGUUAAAUUCUUCGGCUUAACCGGGGGCAUGCAGAGGAAACGGCACGACUAGAGGAUGCGAGGGGUCUGCGGAACUCAUAGUGUAGCGGUGAAAUGCGUUGAUAUUAUGGGGAACACCAAAAGCGAAGGCAGCAGACUGGAGCACUCCUGACACUGAAACAUGAAAGCGUGGGUCGCGAAUGGG
rnacentral:rRNA from 1 species